UACGUAGGGACCGAGCGUUGUCCGGAAUUAUUGGGCGUAAAGAGCUUGUAGGCGGUUUGUCGCGUCUGCUGUGAAAUUUCGGGGCUCAACCCCGAACUUGCAGUGGGUACGGGCAGACUAGAGUGUGGUAGGGGAGACUGGAAUUCCUGGUGUAGCGGUGAAAUGCGCAGAUAUCGGGAGGAACACCAGCGGCGAAGGCGGCACUCUGGGCUGGUACUGACGCUGAGGAGCGAAAGCGUGGGUAGCAAACAGG
rnacentral:rRNA from 1 species